GACGAACGCUGGCGGCGUGCUUAACACAUGCAAGUCGAACGCUGAAGCUCAGCUUUUGUUGGGUGGAUGAGUGGCGAACGGGUGAGUAACACGUGAGUAACCUGCCCCCUUCUUUGGGAUAACGCCCGGAAACGGGUGCUAAUACUGGAUAUUCACUGGUCUUCGCAUGGGGGUUGGUGGAAAGGGUUUUUCUGGUGGGGGAUGGGCUCGCGGCCUAUCAGCUUGUUGGUGGGGUGAUGGCCUACCAAGGCUUUGACGGGUAGCCGGCCUGAGAGGGUGACCGGUCACAUUGGGACUGCGAUACGGCCCAGACUCCUACGGGAGGCAGCAGUGGGGAAUAUUGCACAAUGGGCGCAAGCCUGAUGCAGCGACGCCGCGUGAGGGAUGGAGGCCUUCGGGUUGUGAACCUCUUUCGCUCAUGGUCAAGCCGCAACAAUGGUUGUGGUGAGGGUAGUGGGUAAAGAAGCGCCGGCUAACUACGUG
rnacentral:rRNA from 1 species